UACUGGAUUAUAUGGAGAGUAUCUUCAUUUAUAAUCUUCAUUUCAAGAUAUUCCUCAGUGCCACCCGAAAUGUGGAUGCUCAUAGUCUCGCUCUUGGACCGACUGCUGUGGAUGCGCAUGGUGAUUGCUGGUGCUGCGUUAUCUAUUAUAUCCACAAGGGAUUGAUUCCAGGAACCCCAAAGGAUACCAAAAAAUCUACAGAAGCCAUAAAAAGAAUGAAAACCAAGGAAAAGAACAGCCUGUCAUGUUCAAGGAAACUAUAAAAUGGCCACAAGACCAGCCUGCAAUCUGUAAGUCAUCCCUGCUGCAAACGGUAUUCUCACCCAAAGAGGAAAGAACCUGAGAGCAGAAGCCACAGAGGCCCUCCUACUGCAGACCUGACCUACAAUUCCUGUCAGGACACAGUUCACGGUGCUUUUCUUUCCAUUUCAGUUUCUGUGGUUAGGCUUGGUCCAAGAACAUUAAAUGGAAAAUUCUAGAAAUAAAUGAUCCAUAAGUUUUAA